AUGUAUGAAACUACAACAUGCACAGCUUCUGCUGGGUGAUUUACUGUCUUGUGAGAGUGUGAAACAGCAUCAUGUUGCAUUCUUCAAGGGGUACGCUGAUUCCCUACAGCAGGCUGGAGUUAGAUGUCCCUCUUGGUGGCUGGGCUGCAGAAAGCAGUGUGCCUUUUCUGGGAACCAUCAAUUACUUGUCCGAGCUCUGAGCAGUCCACUUUCCCUGUGAGACGGACUCUUGGUCUAAUCCAGAAGGACAAGUGUUAAAUUCCUAUAUUUAUAGCUGAAGCAGUAAUAAAAACUCUUGCAUUUCUGUGGGUUUGCGUUGUGCACUGGUUAUAUGUCUCAGAAAAUCACAUGGUGCUGCUGACCUUCUCCUAAAGAAAGGAGACAAAUUAUCCUUCCUCCCCAGAGGCUGGAUUUAUUUGUCAUUCUCGCAUCUGAGGGAAUGCGCUGGUGCAGUACAAUGUGUUCUGCAGUGCUUUACGCAGAUUGGCCCAGGCUAAUUUUGGUACAGAAGCACUGCAGAGCUUUUUGGAGCUGGUGGUUUGAAGGAACCACAGGCACUGGCAGACCCUUGCUGAAGCACUGGGCCGUGCCUGUGCUGUCCUUGUGCGCCAGAGUCUCGGCUGACGCCAGCGCUGUGCUGCGCAUGUGAGCUCUCUGCAGAGGCAUAGCCCGUGGCUGCUCCCUGGAGCCACACAAGGCUGGUGCUUCAGUCAUCACUUUACGUAAUCUAGGAUCUGACAUGCGUUUGAUUUUCUGGGAAUUUACCGGGUCUUUGGAGCUGUAUCAAAACACCGAUUUGUUUCCUGAAGUGAUGCUUUCAGAGGAGGGCUUUGUUUUGCUCUAGGACCCUGAAGAGGGUGGUUGUGUGUGUGCUCAGGUGUCUGUUUUGGAGAGUUACUGAGUGUGAAGUGUCUCCUAGGAUAACGCUGGCCUUCCCUGAGGAGCUGGUAGGAGCUUGGUCCUUGGCAGAGCCCUGCAGAUGGUGCUGUGUCCCAGCUUAGCUGUGUCUGCGCUGGAGAACAGUUCUGCCACCACUUCCCGCUGUGCGAGGAGCGUGGCAAGGUGCAGCCCCCAGUGAGAGAGCUCGAGUCAACAGGGCUUCAGUGCAGACACAGCUGCAAAGUGGGGCUUUAACCUCUAGCCGUGUGCCAGUAAAGCAGAGCUUCAGUGCAGGAACCUCACAGCUUGUGGCACAGGACUGGGGUUGUGCCUCAUGCUGUUAAUGGGAAGCCUGAAGUCCCCCUAGGGCUGCAUUAGUCCAUGGUUUUGGACAAUCCCUGGUAUACUAGAGGACAGAGAUGGAUACCAUUCUUAUUCUGGUGUAAUUUCCAUGUUAGCACCCUGAAGUGCAAAUACCAUCUGUGUUUGCAGUCUUUCACCCAAGAUGUGGGGUGAAAAGGGCUUUCUCAGGGGCCUUAAGAGUUGAAGAAACGUGUUUAUAACACAGUGCUCUCAGCAGAGCCUGUGGUCUUGUGAGGUCGAGAUUCCUUCCCAGGCAAGGAACCGACAGACAUAGAGUGACUCCACUGGGGUGGCACAGGACAUCUGUGGGUCCCCAGGUGACUGCAUUUGUGUGGAUUGCUGGCCAGCACUCAGUUCCUUGAUACAGGGCCACAGAUCCAAAUAGGUUGGAAGAGCACUGGACAGUCAUCUAGCCUGAUUUCCCUGUCCAAGUAAGAAUCAACUUGGUUUACAUCAUUCCUGACAAAUGUUUGCCCAGCGUGAUUUAAAACGCUUCUAGUGCCGAUAAGGACUUUUGCAUGCAAUCUGUUCUGGUGCUUUGUUGUUCUAUCUUCUAGAAAGUUAUCCUUUGUACCUACUCCUCCUUGCUGCUGUGAAAGCUGAGUGCUACUUCUGUCCUGAGGUGGAGAAUAGCUGACUCUCUGCUUACAGCAACUUCCACAUGGCAGUCUGUUCCCAGGUUUCAUUUCUGAGGGAAGAACACCAACAUUGAUUUGUUCUGUUGGCCACUUGCACAUCAUUCCCCCCCUGCUUGCGAGGUGUAAAGGGAUCUUGUGCUGCAGAUGUGUUGCAGGUGACACUGGUGCCUCCUGUUCAAAACGUGACUGGUGCUUUUACAGUGCAUGAGCAUCAAAUAUGUUGCUGGAGCAGACAGGUGGAGAGAAGUGCUGCCACGUGUUGCGGUCUCCAUGGUUUGUCUCCUUUAUGUGGUUGAUGUCAGAACUGUAGCUUUGUUUUAAGUGGCAGCUUCUAGCUCUAAAGAUCUGCUUCAUCUUCUCCCUUCCACAGCAAACCUGAAUGGUCACUCUUCUGUGUCUUGUGUGCUCAUCCUAGCAUUUUGGGCAGAGUGGGCAUCCUCAUGUCAUUUCAGUCACAGCUGCCCAACAGUGUUAUGCUGAUAACCAUGGCUACAUGAGCAAGGUUACCACAGGAUAGGCACCCUUAGAAGACCUGCACAUGGACAAACUGCUGCCUGGGGAGGAGGCAUUGCCCCCAUUAAAUACUUGCUCUGGGUUCAGCUUUCUUCAAAGGGCUACAUAAGUAGCCUCAGACUUCAUCCUCUCUUUUGUGACAGCUGGGAUGUUCUGAAAUCAUCCUGUCCAUGGCAGGGAGCAUCAGUAGAUGUUGCAGGGAUUCUCUGCUCCUGGGCUGGAAUUUGCAGCAUGGCCAAGAAGAGUUUGCCAUCUAAAUAUCUGGGGCCAACAGGUGUGGUGGCAAACUGAGGCACAGCAAAGAAAGAGUCAUGGCAGAGUCACAGGAAGAGCACAAAUGCUCUUAAUGGCAGUUCUGGCAACCUAGCUCUAGUUGUACUUGUUCUUCCCUUUACAGCUUCUUUAAAUAGUGAAGCAUCCCAGCUGUCACUUGGGAGGAUGAGAGGGCCUCGAAAGUAGGAAGCAGUUGCUGUUAUUCCUCCUUGUUUGCAUGAAGAAAGGUUGGGGGAGUGUGACCAGAGAAAUGUGCAGUUUUGAGAGUCUCGGCCUUGACAUAUGACAUGAGGGUAAUUUUCAGUUUGUGUUACUGGCACAGCCAUUGCUAAAUGCUGCAGGACCUGGACCUAAGCAAAUGGCAGAUGUGGUGGAGGAAGAAGGGAGUGGUGAAGAAACCAUUACAUGAAGUUCAUCUAGAGAAGACAAGCUUCUUGAGAAAGGGUGUGUUAAAAUGAAGCUGAGGUUUUCGGAGGGAUGGUCUGUGCUGCCACAUUCCUGCUUGCCACUCUGGAAUAACAAGUAGAAGUGUGGAGCUGAGGACUUAAAUAUAGGAGGCAAACUCUAAGCAUCUCUGCUUGAAGUGUGUACUUCAGAGAGUGAGUGGAGCCCCGUCUCCAGUGUGGAUGGCUUUCUGGUGGACCACGGGCGAUGGGCAACCAACAGUGGACAGGUCACAGGACUCUGAGGAGCUUUGUUGGUCAGGAGCAGAGCACUGCUCAGUGUGUCACAAGGAUGCAACUGCCCAAGUUUCUAUCAACACCAACUGCACAGUUAGGUAGGAGUAUAUGGGAGGCAGAACUCUGCUUCUAGUGGGAUGUCUUCAACAAUUCUUACAUGGGAGAUUUUGAUUUCCACUUUAUGCUGCUGCUGCCUAUAGUUUUAGCUGCUGCUGCUUCCUUUCUCCAUGGUUAGCUCAUCUCCUGUGUUUUGUAUGUACUCUAUAGCAUGUGCACAGUGAGAUGUGCCCAUCAGUGUGACUGCAGAGUGCCUGUGCAGUGGAGUGCCUGGCAGCCUGACCUGCUGCAAGAGCUGCAGUACCCAGCAAU
ensembl:lncRNA